GACAGAGGUGCCGAGCGUUAGGCGGAAUCAUUGGGCUUAAAGCGUGUGUAGGCGGGUCGUUAAGUGUCUUGUGAAAUCCCACCGCUCAACGGUGGAACUGCUGGGCAUACUGGCGAUCUUGAGCCACCUAGGGGCAGACGGAACAAGCGGUGGAGCGGUGAAAUGCGUAGAUAUCGCUUGGAACGCCGACGGUGAAACAAGUCUGCUGGGGGUGUGCUGACGCUGAGACACGAAAGCCAGGGGAGCGAACGGG
rnacentral:rRNA from 1 species